rnacentral:rRNA from 1 species
GACGUAGGGCGCGAGCGUUGUCCGGAUUUAUUGGGCGUAAAGAGCUCGUAGGCGGCUUGUUGCGUCGACUGUGAAAACCCGCGGCUUAACUGCGGGCUUGCAGUUGAUACGGGCAGGCUAGAGUUCGGUAGGGGAGACUGGAAUUCCUGGUGUAGCGGUGAAAUGCGCAGAUAUCAGGAGGAACACCGAUGGCGAAGGCAGGUCUCUGGGCCACUACUGACGCUGAGAAGCGAAAGCGUGGGGAGCGAACAGG